GAUGAACGCUGGCGGCGUGCCUAAUACAUGCAAGUCGAGCGAACAGACGAGGAGCUUGCUCCUUCGACGUUAGCGGCGGACGGGUGAGUAACACGUAGAUAACCUACCUAUAAGACUGGGAUAACUUCGGGAAACCGGAGCUAAUACCGGAUAAUAUUUCGAACCGCAUGGUUCGAUAGUGAAAGAUGGCUUUGCUAUCACUUAUAGAUGGACCUGCGCCGCAUUAGCUAGUUGGUAAGGUAACGGCUUACCAAGGCAACGAUACGUAGCCGACCUGAGAGGGUGAUCGGCCACACUGGAACUGAGACACGGUCCAGACUCCUACGGGAGGCAGCAGUAGGGAAUCUUCCGCAAUGGGCGAAAGCCUGACGGAGCAACGCCGCGUGAGUGAUGAAGGUCUUCGGAUCGUAAAACUCUGUUAUUAGGGAAGAACAAACGUGUAAGUAACUGUGCACGUCUUGACGGUACCUAAUCAGAAAGCCACGGCUAACUACGUG
rnacentral:rRNA from 1 species